UACGUAGGGGGCUAGCGUUGUCCGGAUUUAUUGGGCGUAAAGAGCGUGUAGGCGGCCAGGUAGGUCUGCUGUGAAAACUCGAGGCUCAACCUCGAGAUGUCGGCGGAAACCAUCUGGCUAGAGUCCGGAAGAGGAAAGUGGAAUUCCUGGUGUAGCGGUGAAAUGCGCAGAUAUCAGGAGGAACACCGAUGGCGAAGGCAGUUCUCUGGGCCGUAACUGACACUGAGGGACGAAAGCUAGGGGAGCGAAUGGG
rnacentral:rRNA from 1 species